UAUAUGUCUGCAUCAUGGAUCCACAUGGAGAAGAAUUGAACAGAGGAAGAGAAACAUCUGAAUGAGAGACUUGAUAAAGAUGGAAAAAGAUCCAAGAAGAUCAGUGAGCAACUAAAAACCAGUGAAUCACAGAGUCAGCAGGAAUCAGGAGGUCUAGAAGGAGUCAUAGUUCCACUAAUCAGGAGGUCUAGAAGGAGUCAUAGCACCACUAAUCAGGAGGUCUAGAAGGAGUCAUAGUUCCACUAAUCAGGAGGUCUAGAAGGAGUCAUAGUUCCACUAAUCAGGAGGUCUAGAAGGAGUCAUAGUUCCACUAAUCAGGAGGUCUAGAAGGAGUCAUAGUUCCACUAAUCAGGAGGUCUAGAAGGAGUCAUAGUACCACUAAUCAGGAGGUCUAGAAGGAGUCAUAGUUCCACUAAUCAGAGCUCCUAAAAUGACUCCACAGACAGUGAACUACUUUCUCCA